rnacentral:rRNA from 1 species
GGGUCAGUAGGUUGGUCGUGCCACCGGUACGUACUGGUCUCACUGAUUCCUCCUUCCUGAGGAACCGUAAUGCCAUUAAUUUGGUGUUGCGGGGAAACAGGACUGUUACUUUGAAAAAAUUAGAGUGUUUAAAGCAAGCUAGCGCUUGAAUACAUUAGCAUGGAAUAAUGAAAUAGGACGAUCGAUCCUAUUUUGUUGGUUUCUAGGAUUGACGUA